rnacentral:rRNA from 1 species
UACGUAGGGUGCAAGCGUUGUCCGGAAUUAUUGGGCGUAAAGCGCACGUAGGCGGCCUUGUAAGUCGGAUGUGAAAUCCCUCGGCUCAACCGAGGACGUGCAUCCGAAACUGCAAAGCUCGAGUAUGGAAGAGGGUCGCGGAAUUCCCGGUGUAGAGGUGAAAUUCGUAGAUAUCGGGAGGAACACCAGGUGCGAAGGCGGCGACCUGGGCCAAUACUGACGCUGAGGUGCGAAAGCGUGGGGAGCAAACAGG